CUACGGGAGGCAGCAGUGGGGAAUAUUGGACAAUGGGCGAAAGCCUGAUCCAGCAAUGCCGCGUGAGUGAUGAAGGCCUUAGGGUUGUAAAGCUCUUUUACCCGGGAUGAUAAUGACAGUACCGGGAGAAUAAGCCCCGGCUAACUCCGUGCCAGCAGCCGCGGUAAUACGGAGGGGGCUAGCGUUGUUCGGAAAUACUGGGCGUAAAGCGAACGUAGGCGGCUUGGCAAGUCAGGGGUGAAAUCCCGGAGCUCAACUCCGGAACUGCCUUUGAAACUGCCUCGCUUGAAUCCUGGAGAGGCGAGUGGAAUUCCGAGUGUAGAGGUGAAAUUCGUAGAUAUUCGGAAGAACACCAGUGGCGAAGGCGACUCGCUGGACAGGUAUUGACGCUGAGGUUCGAAAGCGUGGGGAGCAAACAGGAUUAGAUACCCUGGUAGUCCACGCCGUAAA
rnacentral:rRNA from 1 species